UUACCUUCCACAAAUAUCAUUGUUCAUAAUGCCACAAUAUAAAUUACGAAGAUGAAGUUGUGAGGUAACUAUCAUUUGAAUUGCACGGUGUAUGGAUCAAAAUCUACCUUUAGAAUAUAAGUCAAAAUGAUAUGAGUAAAACAUCUCCAGGUCGUCAUAGGUCGAAGUGUUCUAAUAACCAAUGAAAGUUGUGGUCGAGGAGUCAGCAAAGAUCGAAGCCCCUGGAGUCGUCAAUAAUCGAUAACAGAGUUAUAAUGACUAGCUUUAAGAUAGGACCUGAAGGAGAAUAUUCUAGUGGAUAUUCUCU
rnacentral:lncRNA from 1 species